GACGAACGCUGGCGGCGUGCUUAACACAUGCAAGUCGAACGAUGAAGCCGGAGCUUGCUCUGGUGAAUUAGUGGCGAACGGGUGAGUAACACGUGAGUAACCUGCCCAUGACUCUGGGAUAACUGCGGGAAACUGUAGCUAAUACCGGAUACGACCCUUGGAGGCAUCUCCUGAGGGUGGAAAGAAUUUCGGUCAUGGAUGGACUCGCGGCCUAUCAGCUAGUUGGUGAGGUAAAGGCUCACCAAGGCGACGACGGGUAGCCGGCCUGAGAGGGUGACCGGCCACACUGGGACUGAGACACGGCCCAGACUCCUACGGGAGGCAGCAGUGGGGAAUAUUGCACAACGGGCGCAAGCCUGAUGCAGCAACGCCGCGUGAGGGACGACGG
rnacentral:rRNA from 1 species